UGGGGAAUUUUGGACAAUGGGCGCAAGCCUGAUCCAGCAAUGCCGCGUGAGUGAAGAAGGCCUUCGGGUUGUAAAGCUCUUUUGUCAGGGAAGAAACGGUUGUGGCUAAUAUCCAUGGCUAAUGACGGUACCUGAAGAAUAAGCACCGGCUAACUACGUG
rnacentral:rRNA from 1 species